rnacentral:lncRNA from 1 species
UUUGAAAGUGGGUGAGCAGGACAUGAGGCAGAAUUCAUUCAGGAAGUAUUUCCUGAGUACCUGUGACGGGCCUAGGGACUGGGUGCCCAGGUCCUGUGUCCUGGGGACAGGAUGCCCAGGCUCUGCCUUCUCCCACUUAUAGACAGAGUGGGGCAGCCCCCUGCCACCUCUGGAUGAGCACAUAGAUGUCUCUGUAAAGCUGAGCAAAGCUGAACUCUGCAGACCUAGUGCUGGCCAAGAAGGUCUGCCAUGAAGGCAAGCACUCACCGUGAGACUCUGCCUUGAAAGCUCAUAAACCUGGGAGCCUGCUGUGCUCAGCCUCAGAAACCCCCAGGUGCCCGUGUGUCUGCCACCGCCAGCCCCCACCAUCCCCUCAGUGAUAAGAUACUGGGAGGCAGACCAUAAAAGGUGGAUUUUAUGACAACAGCUUGGUGACCAGACCAUCCCGCAGUCAGGGCUGCCUCCGCUGAGGGCGGAAGCAGGGAUGACUCAUGGAGAGGCCCCAGCAGACAGCCGAGGAAGCCUCUGACCCUGCAGUGCUGUGAGCUGGGUCAUAAUGGGACACUGGGGAGCCACAGAUGUGCCCAGAGGUAGGGAGAUGCUGUGAGUCACUCCACCCUGUCAGGCACUGGCAGGGAGUUGAGGAGUCAGAAGCAGAGAGAGCCAACACUGAGCUCGCCCGGUACCUAUGAGCAGCCAGCCUCUAAAUGGCUUACAGCUUGACAGUCCUCACACUGUGGCAGUGUAGUUUCUGGAAGCCUAUGGGGCCCAGGGACAUUCCUGUGACUGAUGCCAGUGGAUGAGGUGUGCUACAGUAGGUGAACAAGCGGCCUUCCCAGGGAAUGAAGGAGCUGCCUGUUUAGAGGAUUCUUUGUCACAUGCAUGGAAGAUUUUAGGAAAGGUAGGAGGUAAGAAAAAUUAUAGAAGAAGGUGCCAGCUGCUUCUUUGAAGAGUGGUGUUUUAUAAAAGCUGCUGAGAAUGUGAGUCACGGGUGGUUGGCGGGGGGAAGGAUAAUGGGUAUUAAUUUCACUUGUUUUGUACCAGUCAUUCCAACUUUGCAAUGACGAAAAUGUGAGGAGAAAGUGUGGGAUAAGGCAGCCACUCCAGGAUGAAAGAAGGCACUGGGCAACAGCAGACGUGGGUCAGCCUAGAGAGCAGAUCCAGCCAGCUCUGGAAGAAGUUUAAUGGGAGAAGUCUGCAAGACAGGAGGAGAUAAAUUAGCACCUUUAAGAUCAAGG